UACGUAGGGAGCAAGCGUUGUCCGGAAUCAUUGGGCGUAAAGCGCGCGUAGGCGGCCCCGUAAGUCCGCUGUGAAAGUCAAAGGCUCAACCUUUGAAAGCCGGUGGAUACUGUGGGGCUAGAGUCCGGAAGAGGCGAGUGGAAUUCCUGGUGUAGCGGUGAAAUGCGCAGAUAUCAGGAGGAACACCAGUGGCGAAGGCGG
rnacentral:rRNA from 1 species